CCUACGAGAGGCAGCAGUGGGGAAUAUUGCACAAUGGGGGAAACCCUGAUGCAGCGACGCCGCGUGAGUGAAGAAGUAUUUCGGUACGUAAAGCUCUAUCAGCAGGGAAGAAAAUGACAGUAACUAACUAAGAAGCGACGGCUAAAUACGUGCCAGGAGCCGCGGGCAAACGGAGGGGGCAAGCCUUAUGCGGUUAUACUGGGUGGAAAGGGAGCGGAGACGGCCAGACAAGUCAGAAGCGAAAGCCCAGUGCUCAACCCUGGGACUGCUUUUGAAACUGCCGGGCUGGAGUGCAGGAGAGGUAAGCGGAAUUCCAAGUGUAGCGGUGAAAUGCGUAGAUAUUAGGAGGAACACCAGUGGCGAAGGCGGCUUACUGGACUGUAACUGACGUUGAGGCUCGAAAGCGUGGGGAGCAAACAGGAUUAGAUACCCCAGUAGUC
rnacentral:rRNA from 1 species